rnacentral:rRNA from 1 species
CAGAGGGUGCAAGCGUUGUUCGGAAUUACUGGGCGUAAAGCGCGCGCAGGCGGAAGUGCAAGUCUCGAGUGAAAUCCCGCCGCUCAACGGCGGGGCUGCUUAGGAUACUGCACCUCUAGGGACCGGUAGAGGCUGGUAGAAUUGCAGGUGUAGCGGUGGAAUGCGUAGAGAUCUGCAAGAAUACCCGUGGCGAAGGCGGCCAGCUGGGCCGGAUCCGACGCUGAGGCGCGAAAGCGUGGAGAGCAAACAGGAUUAGAUACCCUGGUAGUCCACGCCGUAAACGAUGGGCACUAGGUGCCGGGGGGAGCGACCCCGUCGGUGCCGCAGCUAACGCGAUAAGUGCCCCGCCUGGGGAGUACGGCCGCAAGGCUG